rnacentral:rRNA from 1 species
UAAACUCCAUCUAAGGCUAAAUACCGGCACGAGACCGAUAGUCAACAAGUACCGUAAGGGAAAGUUGAAAAGAACUUUGAAGAGAGAGUUCAAUAGUACGUGAAACCGUUCAGGGGUAAACCUAAGAAACCCAAAAGAUCGAACGGGGAGAUUCAUCGUCAACGAUGUUGGCUUCGUGUCGAUGGGCGAUGUCCUGUGUAUCUCGAUACCCAUGGUCACGCUAUCGUGCACGCAUGUCCGGCAUUGUCGUCGUGCACUUCUCCCCUAGUAGGACGUCGUGACCCGCUGGGUGUCGGUCUACGGGCUGGGUGUGCUGUCUGUCGUGUCGCUGGUAAAAUGGCACAUGGCAAACCCCCGGUCACCUGGCCGGCUGCCCGGCGGUACGCAUAAAGGUAUCAGGCCGCAAAAAUUAAAUUGCGUCAAGCCCGUCGCAAGCGCAGCCAUUUGGGUAUCGGAGG